GAUGAACGCUGGCGGCGUGCCUAAUACAUGCAAGUCGAGCGAACAGACGAGGAGCUUGCUCCUCUGACGUUAGCGGCGGACGGGUGAGUAACACGUGGAUAACCUACCUAUAAGACUGGGAUAACUUCGGGAAACCGGAGCUAAUACCGGAUAAUAUAUUGAACCGCAUGGUUCAAUAGUGAAAGACGGUUUUGCUGUCACUUAUAGAUGGAUCGGCGCCGCAUUAGCUAGUUGGUAAGGUAACGGCUUACCAAGGCAACGAUGCGUAGCCGACCUGAGAGGGUGAUCGGCCACACUGGAACUGAGACACGGUCCAGACUCCUACGGGAGGCAGCAGUAGGGAAUCUUGCGCAAUGGGCGAAAGCCUGACGGAGCAACGCCGCGUGAGUGAUGAAGGUCUUCGGAUCGUAAAACUCUGUUAUUAGGGAAGAACACAUGUGUAAGUAACUGUGCACGUCUUGACGGUACCUAAUCAGAAAGCCACGGCUAACUACGUG
rnacentral:rRNA from 1 species